UACGGAGGGUGCAAGCGUUGCUCGGAAUUAUUGGGCGUAAAGGGUAGGUAGGUGGUCUUAUUUGUCUGGGGUGAAAUCCUUGAGCUUAACUCAAGAAGUGCCUCAGAAACGGUAAGACUAGAGUCCCAGAGAGGGUCGUGGAAUUCCCGGUGUAGCGGUGAAAUGCGUAGAGAUCGGGAGGAACACCAGAGGCGAAGGCGGCGACCUGGAUGGGGAACUGACACUAAACUACGAAAGCGUGGGGAGCAAACAGG
rnacentral:rRNA from 1 species